AUUCAUAUAGUUUAAUUAAAACACUUCAUUUUCAAUGAAAAGAUGAAUAUACAAGUUCUAUGAAUA
rnacentral:tRNA from 1 species